CCUUCUCUCUAUACACAAAACUAGACGUGCUGGGAAUGGGACUCCGGGAGUGGGAGGGAGAGAGGGACAGAGAGAAAAAGCCCCCUAACAUCGGAUCAAACGGAGACAACGAAUACGGAAGACACAGGAAAGGGAAAGAGAAAGAGGGCUGGUGGGGGUGGCUUUGCUGCUCCGCUUCCACUGCCAACGGAACGUCGCCGCCGGUCCAUCCACGGGAUAUUAGUUGGCAACAAUAAAAGAAACUUUUGCAAAGAUCGAGCACUAGAUUACCUCGUUCCACUUUCGCUAGCGGAGCAAUAACGAAAUGAACAUAAUGGAGUUUUCGAGACCCUCGUCUAUAUAUGGUGUAAUAUAAUCAAUAAAUAUAGAAGAGAAAUUAACUACGAUUAAAUA
rnacentral:lncRNA from 1 species